AGCUGAUCACUGGGCGUAAAGCGUGCGCAGGCGGUUUUGUAAGACAGAGGUGAAAUCCCCGGGCUCAACCUGGGAACUGCCUUUGUGACUGCAAGGCUGGAGUGCGGCAGAGGGGGAAGGAAUUCCGCGUGUAGCAGUGAAAUGCGUAGAUAUGCGGAGGAACACCGAUGGCGAAGGCAAUCCCCUGGGCCUGCACUGACGCUCAUGCACGAAAGCGUGGGGAGCAAACA
rnacentral:rRNA from 1 species